rnacentral:rRNA from 1 species
CAAUAGCGUAUAUUAAAGUUGUUGCAGUUAAAAGCUCGUAGUUGGAUUUCUGGGCUGGCCGGACGGUCCACCUCACGGUGAGAACUGGCUGGUCGGCCCUUCCUCUCGAAGUGUUGCGGUGUUCUUAACUGAGUGCUGUGGCAAUUCGGGACCUUUACUUUGAAAAAUUAGAGUGUUCAAAGCAGGCCUUCGCUUGAAUACAUUAGCAUGGAAUAAUGGAAUAGGACUUUGGUUCUAUUUUGUUGGUUUCUAGGACCGAAGUAAUGAUUAAUAGGGAUAAUUGGGGGCGAUUUGUAUUAACGCGUCAGAGGUGGAAUUCUUGGAUUGCGUUACGACAAACUACUGCGAAAGCAUUUGCCAAGGAUGUUUUCAUUGAUCAAGAACGAAAGUAUAGGGAUCGAAGAUGAUUAGAUACCAU